rnacentral:rRNA from 1 species
UACGUAGGGUGCGAGCGUUGCCCGGAUUUAUUGGGCGUAAAGGGCGCGUAGGCGGUGAGAUGCGUCUGUUGUGAAAUCGCUCGGCUCAACUGGGACGGGGUCAGCGGAUACGGUCUCACUUGAGCAAGCUAGGGGGCAAUGGAAUUCCCGGUGUAGUGGUGGAAUGCGUAGAGUAUCGAAGAGGAACACCUGCGGCGAAGGCGG